rnacentral:rRNA from 1 species
AUACGGAGGAUCCAAGCGUUGUCCGGAUUUAUUGGGUUUAAAGGGUGCGUAGGCGGACUAAUAAGUCAGAGGUGAAAGUUUGCAGCUUAACUGUAAAAUUGCCUUUGAAACUGUCAGUCUUGAGUAUAGUUGAGGUGGGCGGAAUGUGUCAUGUAGCGGUGAAAUGCUUAGAUAUGAUACAGAACACCGAUUGCGAAGGCAGCUCACUAAACUAUAACUGACGCUGAGGCACGAAAGCGUGGGGAGCGAACAGGAUUAGAAACCCUAGUAGUCC